rnacentral:lncRNA from 1 species
UGCUAGCGUCAAGGAAUGCAGGAUUUACAAUACUCAGUCCCAUCACACUACUGAAUAGUUUGUAAGGUAACAAAACGGGCAGCUUAGAGCUGCAGUAUUUGCCAGAUAUACAAAUUUCGUAGGGAUUGUUUGUGCAUAUCGACUGUUCUGACGUCCUUCAGCAGGCUGGCAAUAGCAUUAAUGGAACAUUUCCUUUGUACCAGAGAUUUUAAAAAUUUAAAAAUGAUUUUAAAUGAAGGAAGAGAGAAAUCUAAUUCUUUUUCUUUCUUUUCUUUUUAUAACAUCGUUCUUGGUUCCCGGGAGAUGAUAAAGUGGCUGGGUCUUGAGUAGGAGCACAUUAAAAACGGCUGUAAACUCCUGACUGAAGGUUGUGAUUUGUGGGUGGCGCCACCUACCGGUGAGCACCAUGCUUUGUUUUGCUUGACUAGUAGAUUGACUUUCACAUCCAUUUGCUGUGUUCUCUAUAGGUGUCACGUCACUGAGAAGAUAUACAGUGCUUUUUAUUAAUUCAUAA